GUGCUCACUUUGGCAGCACAUAUACUAAAAUUGGAAUGAUACAGAGAAGAUUAGCAUGGCCCCUG
rnacentral:snRNA from 1 species